rnacentral:rRNA from 1 species
AGAACGAACGCUGGCGGCAGGCCUCAAACAUGCAAGUCUAGGGGGUGUAGCAAUACAUCACCGGCGGACGGGUGCGUAACACGUGGGAAUAUACCUUUUGGUUCGGAACAACGCAGGGAAACUUGCGCUAAUACCGAAUGUGUCCUUACGGAGAAAGAUUUAUCGCCAAAGGAUUAGCCCGCGUCCGAUUAGCUAGUUGGUGAGGUAAUGGCUCACCAAGGCUCCGAUCGGUAGCUGUUCUGAGAGGAAGAUCAGCCACACUGGGACUGAGACACGGCCCAGACUCCUACGGGAGGCAGCAGUUGGGAAUCUUGGACAAUGGGGAAACCCUGAUCCAGCCAUGCCGCGUGAGCGAUGAAGGCCUUCGGGUUGUAAAACUCUUUCGACGGGACGAUAAUGACGGUACCCGUAGAAGAAGCUCGGCUAACUUCGUGCCAGCAGCCGC